CUGCUUGCAGGGUACUCGAGUGGCGAACGGGUGAGUAACACGUGGGUGAUCUGCCCUGCACUUCGGGAUAAGCUUGGGAAACUGGGUCUAAUACCGGAUAGGAACCAUCUUUAGUGUGGUGGUUGGAAAGUUUUUUCGGUGUAGGAUGAGCUCGCGGCCUAUCAGCUUGUUGGUGGGGUAAUGGCCUACCAAGGCGGCGACGGGUAGCCGGCCUGAGAGGGUGUACGGCCACAUUGGGACUGAGAUACGGCCCAGACUCCUACGGGAGGCAGCAGUGGGGAAUAUUGCACAAUGGGCGCAAGCCUGAUGCAGCGACGCCGCGUGGGGGAUGAAGGCCUUCGGGUUGUAAACUCCUUUCGCUAGGGACGAAGCUUUUUGGUGACGGUACCUAGAUAAGAAGCACCGGCUAACUA
rnacentral:rRNA from 1 species